CCUACGGGUGGCACCAGUGGGGAAUAUUGCACAAUGGGCGCAAGCCUGAUGCAGCCAUGCCGCGUGUAUGAAGAAGGCCUUCGGGUUGUAAAGUACUUUUAGCGGGGAGGAAGGUGUUGUGGUUAAUAACCGCAGCAAUUGACGUUACCCGCAGAAGAAGCACCGGCUAACUCCGUGCCAGCAGCCGCGGUAAUACGGAGGGUGCAAGCGUUAAUCGGAAUUACUGGGCGUAAAGCGCACGCAGGCGGUCUGUCAAGUCGGAUGUGAAAUCCCCGGGCUCAACCUGGGAACUGCAUUCGAAACUGGCAGGCUAGAGUCUUGUAGAGGGGGGUAGAAUUCCAGGUGUAGCGGUGAAAUGCGUAGAGAUCUGGAGGAAUACCGGUGGCGAAGGCGGCCCCCUGGACAAAGACUGACGCUCAGGUGCGAAAGCGUGGGGAGCAAACAGGAUUAGAUACCCCUGUAGUC
rnacentral:rRNA from 1 species